UUUUUUGGAGAUUUUUUUCGUUGUUUUGCUAUUUAUUGUUCCUUGUAUAUUUAGUGAAGGCUUUGAGAAAAACCUUGCAGUUUCUCCCACAGAAGGAUUGCGCAUCUUGGGCGUCUCUAUGUAGCGGUGUUCCACAGUCCUGUCAUACAUCCAUGCUAUGUAACCAUGGUAGUCUCAUAAGCUCACUACUACAAUUCACAAAUUCCUGAAGGGAGAUACAUUAUUUCCAAAUGCUGAGUAAUGUCUAUUGUGGUCCCAUCUAAACCAUCUUAGUUAUGCUUCUCAAUUGCUUCCCUUCUAAGGAAGGCAUUUAGCUUUGAGUGAAAUGUAUGGAGACAAGGGAGGUCUACGUCUCAAGAGGCAUUUCCCCUGUGCAGGAACAGUUGCACAACAUGGUUGUGGAUGAAGUGCGACACAAAAAUCGCUACCCUCAGGGCAUUUCUUCUGUACCCCUCAUAUUGAAAAUCCUUUCUUUUCCUGUACAAUAUAUCCUGAUUACAGUUUCCUCUAUCUUUACUACCCCAUGUUCCUGCCCUACUCCCAUGUCAUCUAGUCCUACCCCAUUUGUGAUUCUGAUGGAAAAGAAAAGGCUUCUUGCAGUUGGAACAACACAUCACAAAUUUAAAUGAACUAAGAAACAAAAACUAUGACAUACAGGGUGGACAAGGGAGCUAACAGAAUGAAUGGAGAGAAGUGGAGAAUGAAAAAUAAUCAGAGACUCCCUGGUUCACACAGUCUGUAGUUUCAUGAAGAUGCUAAGCUGAAAGCUUUGCUAUGGACACAGAGGACCAGGUGUAGAGCCAUCAUGCAGGCUAUGUGCCUGCUGGUUCUGUCUCUAUGACUGCAUAUGAGCUUUGUUCAAUUAAUUUAGAGUCCCUGUUCUCCAGGUGGCCUCCAUCUCCUAUUGCCCUUACAAGUUUUCUACCUGUGCUUUUCAGGGUUCUAUCAUCACUGAG
rnacentral:lncRNA from 1 species